CUGAAAAGAAUGCUAAUACCGCAUGACAUAUCGGAACCACAUGGUUUUGAUAUCAAAGAUUUUAUCGCUUGAAGAUGGACUCGCGUCCGAUUAGUUAGUUGGUGAGGUAACGGCUCACCAAGACCGCGAUCGGUAGCCGGACUGAGAGGUUGAACGGCCACAUUGGGACUGAGACACGGCCCAGACUCCUACGGGAGGCAGCAUG
rnacentral:rRNA from 1 species